rnacentral:rRNA from 1 species
GACGAACGCUGGCGGCGUGCUUAACACAUGCAAGUCGAACGGAAAGGCCCUGCUUUUGUGGGGUGCUCGAGUGGCGAACGGGUGUAAAACACGUGAGUAACCUGCCCUUGACUUUGGUAUAACUUCAGAAAACUGGGGAUAAUACCGUAUAGGAGCUCGUGCUGCAUGGUGGGGGUUGGAAAGUUUGGGGGGUUGGGGAGGGACGCGCGGUUUAUCAGCUUGUUGGGGGGGUAGUGGCUUCCCAAGGUUUUGACGGGUCGCCGGCCUGAGAGGGGGACGGGCCACAUUGGGCCUGGGAUACGGCCCGGCCUCCUACGGGGGGCGGCAGGGGGGAUAAUGCAACAAUGGGCGGAGGCCGGAGGCAGCACGGCCGCGGGCGGGAUACCGGCCUUGGGGUGGAAAACCGUUUUCGCCUGUGACGAAGCGUGAGUGACGGUAAUGGGUAAAGAAGCACCGGCUAACUACGUG